rnacentral:ncRNA from 2 species
AUUUAACAAAUAGAGCAGGCGAUACAUUUAUAUUUAAUGUGUGGGGCUGGGCCAGCAAUUACUGGCAGCAGGGAAAAUACCUGUGGGACUAUA